AAGACUAUACUUUCAGGGAUCAUUUCUAUAGUUUGUUACUAGAGAAGUUUCUCUGAACGUGUAGAGCACCUCAAAAGAACAAAGCUGGAGGCAUCACACUAUCUGA
rnacentral:snoRNA from 1 species